UAAACGCUGGCGGCGUGCUUAACACAUGCAAGUCGAACGGAGUAUCCUCCCGAGACCAAGGAAGCUUGCUCUGAGGAAUCAUUUGGAAUACUUAGUGGCGGACGGGUGAGUAACGCGUGGGUAACCUGCCCUAUACAGGGGGAUAACAGCUGGAAACGGCUGUUAAUACCGCAUAAGCGCACAGUAUCGCAUGGUACAGUGUGAAAAAACUCCGGUGGUAUAGGAUGGACCCGCGUCUGAUUAGCUAGUUGGCGGGGUAACGGCCCACCAAGGCGACGAUCAGUAGCCGGCCUGAGAGGGUGUACGGCCACAUUGGGACUGAGACACGGCCCAAACUCCUACGGGAGGCAGCAGUGGGGAAUAUUGCACAAUGGGGGAAACCCUGAUGCAGCCGACGCCGCGUGAGUGAGGAAGUAUUUCGGUAUGUAAAACUCUAUCAGCAGGGAAGAUAAUGACGGUACCUGACUAAGAAGCUCCGGCUAAAUACGUGCCAGCAGCCGC
rnacentral:rRNA from 1 species